UACAUUUUAGUAUAAAACGUAUAAAAGUUUUUGAUGCUUUAGGUAAUAGUUUAAUUCUAUUAAAUGUAA
rnacentral:tRNA from 1 species